CAACUGAUGUAAUAGGUCCCAUGGGCCAUGGCCUGCCACUUUGAGCUAGGAAAAGCCUAGAGGAUGGGGCAUCUAGGAAGGACCCAUACUUUGGACUUGGGGCUGAACAAUGAAGUCAGAGUCAAUUUAUCCAGUACUCAUGUUCUGUAGAGUGGCCUUCCAGAGAUGGGGCUGGCCUCGGCAGCAUUUGAUGAUCAUGAGGAUCUAGCCUCUGCUGCCACUGGCCCACCUAUGGUAUACAGGGAGUGCAUGCCACUGUACACGUGGAAGGUCAGCAGACAACAUGCAGGAACAAGUGCUCUACCUCUCCUAUGCGUGUCUUGGGGAACUGAACUCAGGAUGGACAAUGACAAGACUAUGUCUGUCUCCAUGUGGGCUCUCUGAACUUACACAUACUCCAAUAAAUUAUGGAAUUAUACAGCA